CGUUUCGCGGUGGCCCGGCGCGAGGUUCGCGAGCUGCGUCAUGACGCGCCGCGGCCGCCGCGCGUCGUCGUUGUGCGAUGGAGAGGGGGGGGAACGCAUUCUUUUGCCACUCAGGCGGGCCAUUCCAUACAAAAAAAGUUCACCGGUCAGUUGAAAGGGGGAGCGAUCAAAUGUUGAAACCAGGCGAUGGGUGAAAAACUUUUGUAGACCCCACGUCAACGACGAGCUCCGACACGCGCGUUGCCAAACUUGGCUCGAGACGAGAGAACCGAAUCCACCCAGCCGCCGUUGCGCGCGCUCACGCGUGAUGGUGUUCGCCCUGAUCACGCGCUCGCGUGGUGCCUCAGGUCACUGUCGACGAGAUUCGGCGCCUCGCCCGCUCGCGCGAAGCGACGCCCGUCGCGCGAUCACGCCAGUUGUCGAUCGGUCCUCGUCGAGAACGACGCGGGGACCGAUCCGUCCCCUCCGCGGCGGUCCUCGGAAGCGACGACGACGAGCGACGCGGUCCACGUCAGGUUUAGGGUCCGUUGUAGGGGGCGGAGACGGAAUGGGCCAGGAACGUGAAAGAUUACAUAAUCUUUCAGUACGAGUAGUUUGUACGCGGACACACUAGAGUACAUACAGGUUUUCGGAGAAAAAAGCGGAAGGAGAUCCGACUCGCAUUCGUAUGGGCAUUUCAGUCAGAGAGGAGCCUUCCGGAGAUGUAAUUUUUCCGAAGACCGCGCGGCGCAGACUGAAAUACCCAUACGAUUCUCGUCGAGAAGCUCGUUCCGUCAAGCCCAUUUCAGACUACCUCGCGCACUUCGAGCGCCGACGAUGUCUUUUUCUUGACAGUAAGUGGUGUUAUAUUAUUGCACGAACGGCGUCAUCAUGGUAUUGGGAACACUUUCUCUCACUAUCGCGAUGUCAUUUGCGACGGUCCUGCGCCGCCCUUGUCGUAUUCAGCGCGCGGGCCCUUCGCGUCAAAAUAUCGCCCGAUUUUUUUUUUUUGCAGUGUCAUGUCCGCGUGUUUGCGCGACCAUGGCGUCGCUGUAUGGACGUAAACGGCAUGGUUGAAGUGAGAAGAAUCGUUUAUCAUGACAUGAUGCGUCGAUUUCGACUAGAAUAUGACAUCGGUUACGAUGAAGAAUGCGAUGUUGCUGGCGCUUCCGUAGCGAAGGCCAGAGUUUCUAUUGUGUGCUCUGGCGAAAUUUCGCAGGUGAAAUUUUUUUUGGUUCUCGAGAUGUAUUUUUUGCACCGUUCUAAAAGGCGCGUGUUUGCGCGGUCAUGGCGUCCCCGGAAGACCCCGGAUUGGAACGUCAUGCUGAGAAGAGUUGCUCUACAUAUCGUCGAACGUCGUAAGCUGUAAGAAUAUGAUGUCAUUUACUGCGGAGAAAUCAGCGGAAAUGGCGCUGGAAAGGGGGUGGUUUCACUUUUAGCGAAAAAAAAGCAGCUUCAGGUAAAAAUUACACCUCCGGAAGGCUCCUCUCUGACUGAAAUGCCCAUACGAAUGCGAGUCGGAUCUCCUUCCGCGUUUUUCUCCGAAAACCUGACUAAAUAUCAUACGUCCACGUACUCGUACUCGUACUGAAAGAUUAUGUAAUCUUUGAAAGAUUAUGUAAUCUUUCACGUUCCUGGCCCAUUCCGUCUCCGCCGUUGUAGGGUACCCUACCGUUUCUCGGAGAGGCCGAACGCGAUGCCGCUGAGUCGCCGCGCCGCGCCACCAACGCCGCCAGAUCGCCAUCGCGCCGUCCGAUCGUCCUCCCUCGCUGAAGUGCGACGGCGAGACGCGCACGCGGCCACUGCGUUGAAGGAGGCGGUGGCCGAGCAGGGCGACGUCGUUCCCGAUCGCCCAGGCUUGUCGUCGCCUGCGCCUCCUGCGACUACGCUCCACGGCGCCUGGUCGGACGUCCGGGCGGACGCGGCGACACCGGCAGACGCCGCGACGACCGACGCCGCGAGCGACGAUGCGCGCGCGCGCGGCGGCGACGGCGACGGCGACGGANNNNNNNNNNNNNNNNNNNNNNNNNNNNNNNNNNNNNNNNNNNNNNNNNNNNNNNNNNNNNNNNNNNNNNNNNNNNNNNNNNNNNNNNNNNNNNNNNNNNNNNNNNNNNNNNNNNNNNNNNNNNNNNNNNNNNNNNNNNNNNNNNNNNNNNNNNNNNNNNNNNNNNNNNNNNNNNNNNNNNNNNNNNNNNNNNNNNNNNNNNNNNNNNNNNNNNNNNNNNNNNNNNNNNNNNNNNNNNNNNNNNNNNNNNNNNNNNNNNNNNNNNNNNNNNNNNNNNNNNNNNNNNNNNNNNNNNNNNNNNNNNNNNNNNNNNNNNNNNNNNNNNNNNNNNNNNNNNNNNNNNNNNNNNNNNNNNNNNNNNNNNNNNNNNNNNNNNNNNNNNNNNNNNNNNNNNNNNNNNNNNNNNNNNNNNNNNNNNNNNNNNNNNNNNNNNNNNNNNNNNNNNNNNNNNNNNNNNNNNNNNNNNNNNNNNNNNNNNNNNNNNNCUCUGGGUUGGCCCCCCCCCCCCCCUUUUCACCGCGUCCGUCGCCGCCAACACCCCUCCCGCGGCAGCUCUCGUCGUCGUCAUCUCUCGCUCUGCCCCCCCCCCUCUUCACCGCGUCCGUCGCCGCCAACAAACGACGUCCCAGUGCACUCACCCUUUGACCGUCCCCCACCCUCGCUUUUCAAUCACCCGCAAAGCCAUCUGUUGACGCAGACCGACCGUCUUGUACCUCAAGUCUUUGUUGUAGUGGAUGUAGAAGAACUCAAUCACCAACGCCAUUGGCACGUUCUUGUCCCGAAGGAUCGUCUCGAGCAUCGCCACGACCCCUUCCGCCCCAUCGUGCUCGGCGUUCACCGCGACCUUCGCGCGUAAUCCCAAAUGCGCGUUCUCCUCUGACCCGAGCACGGCGUCGAACGAGGCGAGCACCCGCUCGAUGUCCUCCUUCGUGAUCGAUCCGCAUCUCUUGUCGCACGCGAAGGACACGGUGACCGUCUGGUUGAUGCCGGUGAUGUUGCACCUCAGCGUGCCCCUGCCCGCGUAGUUGAACAGAAGGUGCACUUCGCCCGCGUCGCGCAUGACGAUGAACCGCUGCUGUACCGCUUUUUCCAGUCUCAGGCACGUCUCGCCGCGAGCGCGAAAGUUGAAGUCAAACGUCGCGAGGUGGACGCCACUGGGGAGAAGACCGCGCUCGGCGAGAAGCUCUCGAACGUUUUCCCGAUGCAGAAGAUUACACCCCUCGUCCGACGCUCGAUGAAGCGCCGUGGCUUGAAUACCGACCGAGGCGACCUUCCCCACCUUGGACAUCUCCUCCAUCCCCGCGAGCGCUGCCUUGACCCACGCCUCCGCGGCGAAUGAGAUGUCGGCGUCGGAGCGCUUCGGCUCGAUCUCGCCGCCGCGAGCGAUCGUCACUUUGUCCAAGGUCUCGCCCUCCUUGGUCGUGAUCGUCACCUCUUCGGCGUGCUUCGCGCGUCUCGCUUCGUUAUGGCGCUCGUAGCCGGUCUUCCCAUCCGCGCCCACCGCGCCGCCCACCGCGCGUCUCGCUUCGUUACCGCGUUCGUUCUCGGUCUUCCCAUCCGCGCCCACCACCGUGCGUCUCGCUUCGACACGGCGUUCGUUGCCGGUCUUCCCAUCCGCGCCCACCGCGCGUCUCGCUUCGUUAGCGCGUUCGUUCUCGGUCUUCCCAUCCGCGCCCACCACCGUGCGUCUCGCUUCGGCACGGCGUUCGUUGCCGGUCUUCCCAUCCGCGCCCACCGCGCGACGUUUUAGGUUUUGUCGCCCGGCGUGCACUUUGCGCCUCUCAUCCGAGGAAUCAACAUCAAUGUUUAAUUUCUCAUAGGCUCGAGUCUGCUUGAGAUACUGAGGGAUGUCUUGGAGUUUCUUCCCAUGCGUAUUAAGCCACGCACGAACCUGUUCCGCGUUUCGAGUGCCGACAUGCUCCGCGAUGAACGUAUAGGCGCCGUACUUGGACUUGGACUUGAACUCGUUAGCCGCGGCGACAGCCCUCUGUUUCUCCUCCUCGCUCCACGACCCCUUGUUCAUUGCUUUCUGGACGGGCGCGUCGGCAUUCGUCUCAGCGGACGUCGUCGCAGAGGGGGGCGUCGUCACCGCGGACGUCGUCACCGCGUUCACAUUGUCGUCAUCGCACCGCUCCCGAACAGCAUCGAUCUUCUCCGGCGUCUCCAAGCGCGUGCCUCCGGCGUACUCGCCUCUGCCCUCGAUGAGAUACAGUUGAUCGCCUUCGACUGACACCACCGGCUUCUGGUCCAAUUCAUUGCGCACUAAUAACUCUUCAAAGGAGAUCUUUGGCGUCAUAGUUCGACGACUGCCGCGUACUUUCGUACAACACAGCUGUGUUUUUACAGAGAAGGAACGAAUUAGUCACCAUUCGAAUGGAGAAGCUGAGCGCCGCGCGGCGACGCGCGCCGCGCCGCGGGCACGGACCCGAACCGCGACGCACGCGAGCGACUCGAGAGGCGUCGGUACCGGCGCGCGCGCUCGCGGUGAAGGCGUGAAAGGUGCCCUCGCGCUCGAAUUUCGAGAGCGAGAGUGAGCACCUACCGUACUAGCGAGGAAAAGAAAAAACGUCGCACGACGCGCGCGAGAUCCGGCACGCGCGCGACCGCGGACAAGGCGACGAAGACGCGAACGCGAUGGGAGUUCAGCUUCGGGACGUACCGACACAGCAGAUGUGCACGAGCUCGUUCCGCGUGAUGUCCGCGUCGUUCUGUCGCGCGGCUCGAGCUGGGCCGCGAGGACAGUUCGCGCAGUUUUCGUAAGUCGUCCGGUACACGUGUACAGUACAGCAGCAGGCUGUACGGUGUCAUCAGGCAGCGGCAGCGGCAGCGGCGCCGCUUCCCGCGUCGUCAAGGCUCGAAUUCGCUCUUCCGCCCCGGGCGCGACGUCGUGGCGACGGUCGCCAUAUCAAUCGUCACCCACGACCGACCGUCGCGCUCGUACCCGCCGCGUGAUCGUGAUCACAUCGACGCGAUCGCGACAGCGCGAGAGUGACGAGCGCCGCGCGAGGGACCGAACCGAACCCGCGGGGACGCGCGCCCCCAGUUAGGGCGGGGAGGAAAACGAAUCCCACACACACCCGCUCGCGGAUCGCCCGGAUGCGCGCUCAUCACGUCACAUUCUCGCCGCGCGAUCGAGUGACGCGAUCACCCGCGCACAUCAGCGCGAGGUGAUGACCGCGACCGCGCGAGCGGGCUGCGCUGCUCGCUCGCGCAGUGAGACGCCUCCGCACGACGAGCCGAGGUUUUGUUCACACGAUGGCGAUGUCGAGGCGGGGUCAGGAUUCGUACUCGUGUACUUUUCGGGUGUAGUUUCGUAUGAAAACCAGUCAGGCCGAUGCUCGUACCGAGCUCGAUUUCGAUUUUCAAAUGCGGCGCGCGGCACACAAUUGGAGUCGACGUCGACGACGCUCCACGCGCGCCUCCACGCGCGCGCGCGCACGUCGUCGUCAUGUCGCGAGGACGAGGAAACACGCGGGAGAUGAACAUCGCGCGCGAGACCGUGAGCAAGGAGGAGAAGUGCGUGUUCGCGCGCGCGCGCCGUCGUCGUCGUCGUCGUUCUUCGAUCCCUCGCGGGGAAUGGAAUGGGAUGGAUCGAUCAUCUUCGAUUCGCGUCCGAUUCUCGCCCCCGACCCGCGAACCCGACCCACCUCACGUCGCCGCCCCUCCCGUCCCUCCCCCAAUCGCGCGCGUCGCCUCCGCGCGUCCAUGAUCCAGGAUCACGAAAAAGUCCGAGAAGGGGUACUUCGACCGCGAUAACAUCAAGUGGGUGGACUGGGAAUCAGAGCGGAAGCAGCUCGAGACGGUGACGGGCGCGGAUGCCGUCGCGCGGAGCGCCGCGGCGAAGCUGCACUUUCCGACGACGAAGUCGAGGGUGUUUUGCGUCGUGGACGACUCCUUCGACGCGUUCGCGACGGGGAAGUUGCCGCCGUAGGGAGGACGGGCGGGCGGGUGGUUGAACCUCGGGAGGGUCGUCGACGACAGAGGCGGAGACGUAGACGCAGAGCUUGUACGACAGCAGCAGCAACAAACAAAAAACAAAGAAACACUCUCGUCGCGUCGUCGUCGCCUCACUCGCAAUCCCCUCCUCCGCAGACGGACGCCGGCGGCGGCGCGGUCGUCGCGCGGUGACCCGCGGUCCCGAUGAACCCCGACCCCAACCGCGGGACCUGACCGAGCGCGAGCUGCUCGAUCGCGAGACGCGGCGACACUAAACCCGCGGGCGGCGCCGCCGAGCGCGCCGCCGUCGUCGCCGUCGCCGUCGCCGUCGGCCCCGGCCAUCGCAGCGCGUCGUAGUCGCGACCGACGACCGACGGCGUCGACGGUGGCGGCGGCGGUGGCGGCGGCGCGUCGCGUCGCUCGCGUCGCGUCAGAUCCACGACGAUCUCUUCCAACCUACCCAGUCGCGCGUCCGCGGCGCGUCGGUGGCGGCGAGCCUCGAUCUCGUCGCGGCUCGCGCGCUCCUCCACCUCUCGCCACCGCGACUCGUUGCGCUCGAGGAACGCGCCCCACGCGUCGCGAAGCUCGACAACCGCGGAGAACGCGACGGAUGCGUCGGCGUCGGCUCGGUUCGGCGGCGUUUGAGGCGGCGGCUCGACGCGCGCCUCCGCGUCGGCGCGCAGCGCGGCGACUUCCGCGCGCCACGUCCGCGUCUCUCUUAGCAUCGUCACCUCCUCGAGGACGGCGUCGCGGGUCGACUUGAUCCGCGUCUCGAGGUUCUCCUUGCUCGCCUUCGCCUUCGCCUUCGCCGCCGCCUUCGCCUUCGCCGCGGCCGCGGCGGCGGCUGCGGCGGCGGCGGCGGCGGGGGAGGCGGGACUCGAAGCGCCCUCCACGCCGUCCACCGCGUCCGCGAGCACCCACAGCGGGUCCGAGGCGCUGCUCGGGGCUGCCGCGCGCGUCGCGGGCGUCGCGACGACGACGCGCGGCGCCCUGGGCUUCUUCCGCGUCGUCGUCGUCGUCGUCUUCUUCGCUGCUUUCGGCGCGCGCGGGGGCUUCGCGGCGGCGCCGGGGUUGCCAGGGUUGCCAGGGUCGCGCUUCUUCUUCUUCGUCGGCGAGGGGCGCGUCGGUCGCUCCUCGCGAUCGUCGUCCUCGACGACGUCGUCGUCCGGGAGCGACGGCGCGGCGCGCUUGCGUCCGCUCCGGCGCGUCGCGCGCGCGCGCGCGGCGUCCGUCGCGGCGGCGGCGUCGUUCGCGUCCGAGCCCUCGCGCGCGUCGUCGUCGUCGUCGUCGUCGAGGUCGCCGCCGUCCUCCUCGACGUUGCAAACCUCCGCGGCCUCGCGCGUCGCCUCGCGUUGCGGCGGCGGCGGCAUUUGCGGCGGCGGAUCUUCUUCCUCCUCCUCUUCCCCGCGAUCGUCGCGCGUCGCGUCCGUCGCGGCGUCGGCGUCGGCGUCGGCGACGGCGUCGACGCGCGCGUCCUCGCUCGACGCGUCUUUUUCGUUUUCUUCGCGCUGCCGCUGCUGCUGCACGUCUUUUCGCUUCGCGCGCGCGUUGGGGACGGGGCGCGCGGACGCGAGCUGCUGCUUGACGCGCGCGGCGGCGUGCACCGCGGCGUCGCGACGGACGCGUUCGGACAUGGCGCGCGCUGGAUACGGUCGCGGCGGAGGCGCGCGCGGGGACUGACUCUCCGCGCGGGGGCGGCGCGCGGGGGCGGGCGAGUUCGUCGGUGGGUAUGGUGGUCGUGAGACGAACCGAACUGAACGCGAACAGAAUCUGUUCGUCGUCGUCGCGUUUCCCGCGUGAAACGAAAGUUGAAACCGCGGCCUCAUCACUCGCCGCGCCGCGCGGCCAUGACCUCGGUCGACCCGUACCCCGCCCCCGGCGGCGGCGGCUCCAUCAGCGACGCCGAGGUCGGCCCCGCGCCGCCCCCCUCCGUCGAACCGCUCUCCGCCCCGGCCGGGUACGACGGCGGCGACGACCCGUCCGUCUCGCUGCAGAUCGAGAUCACCGACCCGCAUCGCGCGGGCGAGGGCCUGUCGAAGCACGUGGAGUACGUCGUGACGUACUGGACGUCCGGCCUACCGAAGUUCGCGAGCGCGUCCGGGCGCGUCGCGAGGCGGUACUCCGAGUUCGAGUGGCUGUGGCGCGCGCUGAGCGCGAGCGCGGACGGCGUGCUCGUGCCCGCGCUCCCGGGCAAGACGCUGAGCGCGCCGCUGAGCGACGACCCGGGGAGCGUCGCGAUCGAGCGCCGACGGCGAGAUCUUGGCGUGUUCGUCGCGCGGAUCGCGCGUCAUCCGCUCAUGCGCGCGAGCGACGACGUGCGGACGUUCCUGGAGGAGAAGGACCGCGGGGCGUGGAAGGAGAGGGUGCCGUGGCACGAGCGCGGGGUCACGUCCGACGCGAUCCGCGCGACGCAGGAAUUUUUCGGCGGCGCGGCAAACGCGCGAGCGUCGUCGUCGUCGUCGGCGUCGUCGUUCAUCGACGUCCCGAACGCGCCGAACGUCACGAACGACGGCAUCGUCGAGGACGCGCGCUUCGUCGAGAUCGGCGAGUACGUCGGCGAGCUGAAGCAGCGCGUCGACGCGCUGUUGGAGGCGACGACGGCGGUGACGAAGCACCACGCGGGCGCGGCGGCGGCGGCGACGGCGUUCGCGGCGGCGUGCGCCGACCUGGACGACGCGGAGUUACGCGCGUGCGCCAACUUCCGCGCGAUGGACGGCGCGUCCGCGACCGUCCCAAUUCGAUGGAGCGCCGCGAGCGCUCUAUUCGCGGCGAGAGCGGCGCCGUCGGACGCGUUGGCUGACGCCGUCGCCGACGCGUUUCGCGAGCCGCUUCGCGCCGCGUCGGCGUUGUGCGCGUCCGCGACGCACGCGCGCGAUCGACGGAGGCAGCUCGUGGACGCGUACAACAAGCUGUGCGCGGAGAUCAGCGCUAUCGACGCGAAGAUCGUGGCGCUCGGCGUGCCCGAGCUCGGGAGCCCGAAGCGAAUGGAGAGGGACGCGCUCGAGCUUCGCGCUUCGGACGCGAGGAUCGCGCGGACGCAUCUCGGGGGGAGGUACUCUCGCGCGGUACUCGUGAGCGACCGCGAGCUGUGUUGGUUCCACGGCGCGCUCGCCGCGAGCAUGGGGGACGCGCUGAAGGCGUACGUCGCGUCGCACGGCGCGGCGGCGGGGCGGGCGGCGCGCGCGUUGGCGGACGCGCGCGAGGGAUUGCGGGACGCGACGGCGGCGCCGCCCGACGCGUUUCUUCCGCCGCGAUGAUUGAUCAUGACGAUGAUUAGCGCGAGAUGCGCGCGUCGGCGGCGAUAUCAUAUUGGUCGGGCGUGUUCGUUGUAAAACCUAUCAUAUCAUAUGACGGCCGUCACUUUAACGGUAUUAUUAAGUACUCUACCUUCACUUAGCGCGCGCGCCGGGCUCGUCAGCUCAUGAGAAGCUCGACGUACUUCGCCACGCUCUCGUCGUCCAGCGGCACGACGUGCGCCCACUGCGGGUAGGCGAUGAAAAGUUCAUUCAUCGGUCAGUUGAAAGGGACCCACGCGAUCAAACGUUGAAACCGAGCGGUGGGUGAAACACGCGACUACACGCGCCUGGUGCUCGUGCGUCGCCGCGCCUAGCCCGAACGCCUCCGCGACUUUCCUCCCCUGCGCCGGCGGGUUCAUCUCGUCCUUCUUCCCUAUGACGUGCAGCGACCUCACGAGCGGCUCCGGCGGCGCCGCGACGACCGCGGCGACCGACUCCGGGACGGCCUCGUCCCACUCCCCCGCGGCUCGGAGCUCGACGGAUCUGAGCUUUUCCACGUCGGCGCCGCGCGCGGUUGGGAACGCCGCGCCGACGACGAGCGCGUAACGCGGGCGGUGCGCCCUCGACGGUCCGACACCGCGGCCGCACGCGAUCGCGGCGAGCAUCGCGCCCUGGGAGAAGCCCAUCAGCCCGUCGAACGGCCAAAGGUGGUCGAGCAUCGCGAGCGAGUCGUCCGCGCCGUCGAGCGAUUCCGCCUCGAACGUGCGCGUGUUCGGCGGGAGCGUCCACCACGCCCUGCCGCCGGAAUGGAGCUCGUGCGGACCGUCCACGAACGUCCAGUCCCACGUCUCCGAGGUCGCGGCGACGAGCGGGGCCAUGUACUUCUCGAACGACGCCGCGGUGCCGCCCUUGCCGUGCAGCGCGAUCAUCUUCCUCUUCUUCGAAGACGUCUUCUCUGCUUCAUCGGCGACGACGACGUCGGAAGGAUCUGGCGACGACGACGCGGACGCCAUCGCGACGACGGCGGACGCGCGCGAGCUGCGCGACGCGCUCGCGGCGGACCUCGAUCGCCGCGCGGUCGCGUUCGACGCGCGGGCGGGAACGAGCGCGGCGACGCCGAGGGACGCGGGCAUGGACGUGUGCGCGCGCGGCGACGCCUCGAACACCGGAAGGAAGUGCCUCGGAAGUGCCGACACUGACUCAGCGACUGGAGGGGAACAAAGAAUGACCGAAAACGGUUCACCACUCGCGAUGGCGCGCGCCUUCGCCCCGCUCGGGCGGCUGGACGAGAACGUCGUCGCCGGGCGAGAUGCGAACGCCGCGCCGAUGGCGCGUCUGAAGGAGAGCAGGAGAGCCGCCGCGGCGGCGGCGAGCGCGGCGUACGUCGCGACCGCGCGCGCGACGAGAUCGAAAUCUCAUUCGCGCGCGGGCUCGGGCUCCGGCGCGUCGUCGUCGUCGUCGUCGUCGUCGUCGUCGUCGUCCAUCUCCGCCGCGACGCCGGCGCCGCGGCCGCCGCCGAGCUCGGUGUUCAAGCCGCCGCCGCGCGGCGGGAUGCGAGCGUCGUCGGACCGACGCGGGGAAGCGAUCGCGGAGGAGGAAGAGGAGGACCUCGACGUGUACGACGACGAGCGCGGCGAACGGAGGAACGACGACGAGGAUGAUGCAGACGUUCCCCGGGAAGAGGAAGCCGACGCGGACGACGACGACGAGUGCGACGAAUAUUACGACGGCGACGAAUAUUACGACGACGAAGAGGAGGAGGACGUGCGGUUCCCCGGCGAACGCGACGCGUCGGCCUCGACGUCCGCGUCGUCGUCGUCGUCCGCGCCAUCCGCGCCGCGUCCUAUUGCCUCCGUCUCCGUCGUCGACAACGACCUGAACGCCGGGACGUACCGCGCGCCCGCGAUGCCUCCCUCGCUGCCACCCUCCGCGACCGUCCCCGUCGUCGAGUGCGCGCACAUCGUCGCCGCGGCGAUCAACGGCGAGCCGCUCGCGCCGUUCAUGCUCGUAAAGGGAGCGUCCGCGGCGGCGAUGGCGAGCGUCAGGCGCGUUCUCCUUCACGCUGGUUCCCAUACGACCGCGUCGGCGUGGUGAACGCCGAUCCUUAAGGACUUUUGCGGGCGCAUCUCUCCGCGCAUCACCCCUCGCUUUCAAUACCCGCCCUCGACGCCUUUCAACUCCGCUUCUGACGCCUUUCAACUCCUCCCCGACGUUCGCUCGUUCGGAACGACCCUCAGCGAGCUCGUGCGACGCGCCGUGACGGACGCGCGACGCGAAGGGCUCACCCUCGGCGCCGCGGAAGCGCGCGCGGCGCUGCGCGGAGGAGGGCGCGACGGGCGCGGCGGCGGGUUCGAGAAGACCGCGGCGUGCGCGGCGAGAGCCGCGGAGGAGCGCGCGAGAGUCGCGGAGGCGCGCGCGAAGGCGUCGGACGCGGCGAGGCGCGCCGCGGAGGACGACGCGAGCGCGUUGAAGAAGGCGCUGAAGAAGACGCAGGCGGCGCUGAAGGGCACAGGCGCGCAUGGACCCGGGGGGUCCGAGCGCGAGGCGAGGCUCAGGGCGCGCGCGGAGAGCGCCGCGAGCGAGGCGGCGGGUUUGCGCGCGGAGGUGAAGCGGCUGAGGCUCGUCGCUGAGGAGGGCGCGCGCGCGGAGGAGAAGCUCGGGGAGAAGAAAAGCGUGUUGGCGAGCGCGGAGGCGGAGUUGCGAGAGGCGAAGGACGCGGCGAGCGCGGCGCGGGAGGAGACGCGCGUUAUCCGCGAGCGGCUGACGCGCGAGCUCGAGGAAAGCGCGCGAUCGGACGCGGCGCGCGCGGACGCGGAGCGCGCGUGGUUCGCGCGAGAGAUGUCAGACGCGUCGACGCGGAUGCGAAACGACCUAAACGAUGUCGCCGCCGACGCGAAACGAAUCGUCGCCGACGCGCUCGACGGCGUCGCCGCGGCGCGACGAGCGGCGCGAGCGUCCAAGGCGCACGCGGACGCGCUCGCGACCGAGUGCGCGGCGCUCAGGGCGCGCGCGAAGCGCGCGACCGAGGACGCGGCGGCGCGCGACGCGGCGGCGCGCGACGCGGCGGCGGCGAGCGCGUCGGCCGAAUCGCAGCUCGCGACGGCGUUGAGAGACAAGACCAAGGCGGAAGACCGCGCCACGGACGCGGAGUACCGCUGCGCGGAGGCGCUGCGCGAGCGCGCGGAGGAGGCGGCGAUCGCGACGUCGCGCCUCGAGACGACGGAGGAGUUGAUCGAGGAGCGCGACGCCGCGACGGAACGCGCCGAGCGCGCGGAACGCGACGCGGCGGAGGCGAGGACGGCGUCGGACGUCGCCAAGGAAGAGAUGGCGAUGGCGUGGGGCGAGGCCGCCGCCGCGGAGAGGGCCGCGGAGAGGAACCUCUCGAGCGCGUACGACGCGUUCGGCGGCGAGCUGCGAGCGCUCAGGAGGCGGUACUUUGUCCGAGACGACGGCGACGACGACGACGACGACGACGACGGCGGCGACGACGGGCGGUACGCGACGACGCGGCCGCGGCUCGACCUCGAAGCGCUCGUCGCCGCGAUGAUCGCGUUCAAGGAAGCGUCCAGAAGGGACGAGGCGUUCGAUCGCGAGCUCGCGUCGUCGUCGUCGUCGUCCGGAAGCGCGAAGGAAGCCGCCGCGGCUCGGAGGGAGCUUCGGAGGAUCGAGGAGUGCGUGCUGGUGGCGCUCGCGGACGCCGCGGAGACGAAGGCUGUCGCGAAGGCUUCGGACGUCGUCGCGAAGACGAUCGUCUCCGUCGCGUCGAAGAAGAAGAGGGGCGGGGAUGAGGAGAGGGAGAAGGAGGCGCCCGCGCCGUGCGAGAGCCCGGUGAUCGUCGCGAGAGGAGGAGGGGGGAGGAAGAGUAGCGGCGGAGAAGGCGGCGACGCGGCGGGGCGGAAAAACGCGCUCACGGCGUCGGACGACGACGUCUUGUCGCUUCUGAACUGACGACGGCGACGACGACGACGCGUUAGAUUAGUGAAAAAAUCUUAUGCUUACAUACACGCAUACACGGAAACGAAAACUACAGGUUAUUAGACUACUCGUACACCCGCACCGAAAGCGCGGGGUUCGGCUUCUUCCUCCGGCUCCGGGGUCCGUCCGUCCGCGGGAAACGUUUUUAUUUCUUCGCGGCGGGCGCCGCCGUCGUCGCGGCCGUCGUCGCCGCACCUUGCGCCAACGGCACCCCCCACCCCCCGCCCCCUAACGCCGCGGCCAUCGCCGCGGGGUUCCACAGAUGCGGCGGCGGCAUGUUCGCCAUGUUAAACCCGUUCGACGUGAACAUCCCAAACGCCAUCUGCGGGUUCGGCCACGCCGCCGCCGCCGCCGGUCGCAUCGCCGCCGCCGCGGUCGCCGCCGCCGCCGCCGCCGCCGCCGCCGCCGUCGUCACUGACGUCCCCGCGCACUCGCCGCCGUCUCGUCCCUCGUUCGUAGGACCCGCCGCCGCGAUCGCCGGGAAUUGAGCCGCGGCGCCGCCGACGGCGACGGGCGCCGCGCCGCCGUCAAGGAGCAUCCUCACGCCGGCGACGGGCACGACGCCCGCGCUCUCGGGCUGGAACUCGCUGGGAGGCUCCACGCGCGCGCGCUCCCCGAACGCCGGGCACGCCACGCCCUUCUCCGCCGCGGCCGCGCGGACCUUCUCCCGCAACGCGUCGUUCUCCGCCGCGAGCGCCCUCGCGCGUCGCAACGCCUCCGCGACGUCGCCGCGCAGCGUCGCGUUCUCGCCCGUGAGCUCCUCCUCUCUCGCGCUGAGCUCGUCGUACUUCUCGUGCUUCCGUCGGAUCGUCUCUCUCGCGCUCUCGCGGUUCGCCUGCACGCGUUUCCGUCGCUUCGCCUCCAGGUCCUCCUCGGAUUCUUCUUUUUUGUUCGGUCCGCGGCCGCGCUUCUUUCCAGGGUUCUCGGCGACGACGGAGGACCCCGGGGCGCCCGCCGACGACGGCGCGGCGCCGGACGCGGCGCCGCGAGACGCCGCCGUCGCGAUGUUGGAUCCCUUCCUGCCGCUCUGAGCGACGAACCCGUUCGCGGCGGUUUCGGCGGCGGCGGCGGCGGCGGCUGCCGCGGCGUUACUUUUCGAAGCCGCGAUCUUGUCGCUCCGGCGCUGCUUCUGCGCGCUGCGCCUCUCGAGCUGCACGCCCGCGUCCGCGAGCGUGAGCAGAGACGUGAAGCCGACGCUGUCGCCCGUGAUCGCCGCGGAGGGGUGUUGCUCAUUCGCGCCGGGAAUUCCCGCGUCGUUCGCGCCGGAUCCGCCGCGCGCGUUCGCCGUCGUCGACGGCCCGCGCGCCGCCUUGGGUCUCGGAUCCGCCUCGGACGUGGUGCGCGUCUGCUUCCGGCCCCACUGCAACGCGCUGGACGGCUUCUUCUCCUCCGCGGCGCGAGGACGCGCGGUCGCGGCGUCGCCGUCGUUCGUCGCGGCGGCGGCGCCGCGCGCGGUGCGCGUCUUCUUCUUCGCCGGAGGAGGAGGCGCCAUCGCCGACGGUCGUCGGUUAGCGCGCGCGCGAAAAAGCGUGCUCAAAAGCGUCGACGCGCAAACAGAAGAAUUCUGACGCGUCCUCGGAUUCGACGCGUCGCGCGCGCGGGUCUCUCGCCCUGACCUCCCGCGAUGCGAUGCCGCGCGUUCGCGCGUCGCCUAUAUUAGACGCGACCUGCGAUCGAUAUCGACGGCGUGGCGCGCGUGCGGCCGCGCGUUCGAGGCAAAUGUGCAUUAGAUCGUGAUGAGAUAUUUACGCACUUUUUUUCAGUUCAAAAUGCACAGCUGUCACCGGGGUCAAGGUUCGCGGUCAGUUGAAAGGCGUCGAAGACUUGAAACCGACGAGCUGGGUGAACAUUUCGCGGCCACUUGUCACGCGCGCGCGCUGCGCUGCUGACAGGGACGAGCCGCGAUCGUCGCGUCGGUCCCGUCGCCAGAUGCGUCGCCGCGUCGUCGCGCUCGAGCCGAGCGCGGCGUACGAGGCGCCGCUCCUGCGCGACGCCUUCGCGAGCCGCGGAUGGGAGAUCGUGGACGACGCGUCGCGCGCGUCUCUGCACUGGGCGAAAGCGCGCGACGUGCGAUGGGACCGCGUCCUCGGCGGGGGCGGCAACGACGACGCCGCGACGUGCGUCGCGAACCGACUCGUGCUGAAGACCGCGCUGACGAGGAAGGCGGACCUCGCGACGCUGGUGCGACGCCACGCCGAGCGCGUCGGGCUCGACGCGUCGCCGGUCGCGGCGGCGACGCCGGAGACGCACGUCAUCGACGGCGACGACGACAGCGACGGCGACGACGAGGAGGCGAACGAGAAUGAUGAUGAGAACGUCGGCACCGAGAAGAGACGACGACUGCCGCGAUGGCUCCUCUCCGACGCCGACGCCGACGCCGCGCGCCGCCGCCGCCGCUGGGUCUUGAAAGCGUCCGAGAGCGACCGCGGCGAGCGCAUCGCGUUCUUCGACGCGUCCGUCCCCGCGGACGUCGCGCGCGCGGAGGCGCUGAUGGCGUCGUGCCCGCGCGACGCGUCGUGGGUACUCCAGAGGCACGUCGAGCGUCCGAUGCUCGUCGACGGCGCGCGCAAGUGCCACCUCCGCGUCAUGAUCCUCGUGAGCGGCGACGCGCGCGUGUUCGUGCACGAGAACGUCGUCGCGCUGUGCUCGGACCGCGCGUGGGACGCGACGGACAUGCGCGACGUCGCCGCGCACGCGACGAACCACAGGGUGCAGGUGAAGGCUCGGCGACGCGUUGGCCGCGGGGCGGUCGAGGACGAGGAUCCGAGAUCGCGAGAACUCCUCGGAGACGACGACGCCAACGCGCUGACGCUGACCGAGAUGUGCGAGCGCGUGGAGAUCGACGACGACGACGGCGGCGUUCACGAGAACAAGAAGAGCGAGAACGUCGCGGGGUCCUCCUCCUCCUCCUCCCGGGAUCUCGAAACGCACAUCAGAGGGCAGUUACGCGCGAUCGUCCGCGACCUCUUCCUCGCGGCGCGCGACAAAAAAACCGUCGCGCCCGUCGGCUUCUUCCCUACCCACGGCACGUUCGAGCUCCUCGGCGCGGACUUCCUCGUCGACGCGCGCGGGAAGGUCUGGCUGCUGGAAGUGAACGGCGAUCCGUGCCUCGCGGUGUAUGGCGAGCGGUUGCGGCCGAAGUGCGCGGAGGUGUUGCGCGACGUCGUCGACGUCGUCGCGCCGCUCGCGGAGGACGGCGAACGCGCGGAACACGAGAGGCGGUUAGCGUAUGAUCACGCCGCGGAAGAAGAAGAAGAAUAUGGAACGUCAACCGGCGCAGUGGGAACACACGGAGGGUUCGCGCUCGUCCUGAGCCUCCCGCCGCGGUUCCCGAACGACGCGAGCGAGGGGCGACGACGCGUCGCGAAGCUCUUGUCGACGAUGAGCGCGUUCGUCGGAAAAGGCAAAGAAACUUUCGCGAGGAGAAGCGCGUGCAUCGCGCGAGGGUCGCCGGGCGCGUCCGGCGCGGCGAGCGCGUUAGCCGCCGCUGAUUGGGAGCUCACGGACGAUCUCCGGUCGCAGACGACGUCGAUGCAGUGGGCGACGCACGAGGACGUGUCGUGGGAACGAGUUUUGGACGGGGAGGGGACGACGACGACGACGACGACGACGACGACGACGCGCGCGAGGCGCAGGCUCGUCGCGAGCCAUUACUACGCUCGGGGCGUCCUCCUGUGCGCGUCGAGACUCUCGAACGCGCUGAUCUCGAACGGCGUGCUCGGCGUCGUCCCGGUGUCGGCGACGCUGACGCGCGGCGGGAUAGAGGCUGCCGGAGGCGCGGACGCGGCGGCGGCGGCGUUGCGACGCGCCGGCGGCGGCGGCGGCGGCGACUGCGCGUGGGACGUCGAGGAGGACGCGACGACGUCGUCGACGACGAUAAAGACGAAGACGAAGACGACGACGCGUCACCGCUGCGCGUCCGCGGAGGUGGCCGCGUCGCGCGUGCUCCACGGCGACGCUCGCGCGUGGAGGGUUCGGCAGCUCGUCGGCGACGGCGGCGGCGGCGACGGCGGCGACGGCAACGCGUCGUCGUCGUCGUUCGACGCGCGCGUCGUCGCGUUGCUCCUCGGGUCCGCCCCGCGCGUGUGCGUCCACCGUCGCGUGGAGAUUCGACGCGCCGACGUGCCCGAGGGCGCGUGGACGUCGUUAGACGACGACGACGGCGACGGUUCGAUGGACGAACGGUCGCGACGCGAGGCGCGCGACGCCGUGAACGCGGCGGUGGUCGCGACGGUGCGCGGGGUCGUCGGCGGCGGCGUCGGAGGGACGGCGACGGCGACGGAAACCAAACUCCGCCGCCGCUUCCUGCCGUUUCGUAACUGCUUCGAGGCGUUCGUCGUGCGUGUCGUCGUCGCACGGCGCGGGGGAGGAGGUGACGAUUCACCGGACGAACCGUCGCGGCGAGGGUACCGCGCGUGGGUGCUCGGUUUCGAGGACGCGUUCAAGAGCGAAUUCGGCGGCGGCGGCGGCGCGGCGGACGCGCUCGCCGCGGACGUCGUCUCGGAGGCGGUCCGGUUCUUUUGGGGCGAGGGCGAGGAGCGGAUGGGUGGCGACGCGCCGUUCGAGGUCGCGCACGCCGGCGAGUUCGCGUCGCUCGACGGAUAGACUAGACUAGCUCGUCUACUGACUGCGCCGCGGGGGGCGAACGACGAACGUCGUUCAUCGACUCCGUUUGAUCGGUUCGUUCGCGAUGAAACGCCGUCGAUCGCGCGCGUUUGACCCGUUGACCGCGCGCGACGUAGAGUAGGCACUCAAAUCAGCUUCGACGAUCUCCGCCCGCCGUCCGCCUCGAGAGAUCUCGAAAUAAAAUACCGGCCCUCCGCGAACGCCGCGCGACGCCGGAGCGGUCGUCACUGGGCGCGGCGCGACACCGCGACGAGCGCGACCUCGGACGGUUUCGCUUCCACGCGCGGAGGAGAUCGCGCGCACGCGGUCGGCGUAACAUCAGAACCCUCGAGCGCGUCGCGGCGACCGCGGCGGCGGGAGAGGUCGGCGAACAAAACCUUUCCACCCGGCGCGGAGGAGAAGCGAGGAAUCUCUUUCGGAAGUCGAGCUACUAGACGCGCGCGAUGGCGCUCCGGACCGCGUCCGAGCUGCUCGACGCGCUCGACGCCGGCGCGAUGCCCGCGGGCGAUCGCGACGACGGCGGCGACGACGGCGAACUCGGCGGGGUCAUCUUCAUAUGCAGGUGCGAGCGCGUUUACGGCGUUCGCGGCGGCCGCGCUUUUCUCGCGCCUCGCUCAGAUGCGGCGGCGAAAGAAGAAGGGCGGGCGACGCGACGAUGAUGGAUCGCGGACCGAGGCGUCCGUCCGCGCGCCGCCCUCCGCGCGGAGCCUCGCCUCGCCGCGCGCGCGCGCCCUCCCUCCCUCCCGCUCCCUCUCCCCGUCGUCGUCCCAUCCCUCUAGCAAGCAGCGCGCUGACCGACCCCCUCGCCCCGAUGCCCCAUCCUCAUCGCGCCUCUCCUUCUCCCUCUCCUUCCGCAGCCGCGAGACGUACGACGACACCACGCGCGCUGGGCUCUUCGGCCUGACGCAGGGCAGCUGGUCGUUCGUGAAGCGCAUCACCCCGGGGAUGCCGCUGUUCCUCUAUAACCUCACCGAGCGGCGCUUCCACGGCGUCUUCGAGGCGGUGCGUGCGCGCGCGUCGUCCCCGAAAACGUCGUCUCGCGCGACGCGAUCGCGCCGGCGUCGUCCUGCUUCGUCGGCGCGAAAAAUUUCGGAUAAGAUCGACCGAUCGACCGCUCCCGGCGGAGAAACGCCGACGACGCGUCGUCUCGCCGCGCGUCGUCUCCGCCCGCCGCGAGCCGCGCGCCGCAUCCCGAAAACAUCCCUCCCCGCUAUCACGUCCGUCGACCCCUCCCAACUGACCUCCCGUCCUCCGUCCCGCGCGCCCCACCCGCAGACCUCCGACGGCGCGAUGAACGCCGACCCGACCGCGUGGAAAACCUCGGGCGCGGGCGCGGGCGACGCCGCCGGUAUCGACGGCAGCCCCUACCCGGCGCAGGUGCGGUACAAGCACACGCGCGUGACGUGUUCCGCGUCCGCGGCGUCGUGCAAGCCGUUCUUGCGGUUCGCCGCGGGGGAAGCGAACGGGAAGAAGUUCCGGUUGGAUCUCACGCCGGGCGAGGCGACGCGUCUCGCGCGCGUGUUCCACGCCGGCGGCGACGCGGGCGGCGGGGCGAAGAAGGGGCUAAACGGGAAGAGCGGCGGGGGGCAUCAUCAGACCAACGGCCGCGCGGCGACGCCGACGCACGAUGUGGUGGACGGGUGGGAGACGGUCUCGUCGAAGAAGACGACGAAGAAGGGCGGCGGCGGCGGAUCAGGCGGCGGGUCGUCGCCGACGACGCGAAGGAACAACAACAACAACGGCGCCGCCGCCGACGGGAAGGACAAGAUCGCGCGCGGCGGCAAGGCUGCCGCAGGCGAGAGUUACCACCACCACCACAUCCACGCGAGCUCGAGCGCGCUCGGCGACGCCGCCGACCGCGCGAGCCCGCCGCCGCCGCCGCCGCCGCCCGGCCCGCCGAGGGCGCCGUCGGGGUGGGCCGCGAUUCUCACCGGGCAGACGAACAGCGCNNNNNNNNNNNNNNNNNNNNNNNNNNNNNNNNNNNNNNNNNNNNNNNNNNNNNNNNNNNNNNNNNNNNNNNNNNNNNNNNNNNNNNNNNNNNNNNNNNNNAGGUGUGCGACCCGCAACAGCCGGGUCACAACGCGGGGGGCGGGUGCUUCGGGGUCAUGGGCGUGCAGCAGAGCUUCAGGGAGCAGCUCGCGCUGCUCGCGAACGCGCCCGCGGAAUCGAGCCUGUUGCUCGCGCUGUUGAACUCGCCGGGGAGGAUAUGCGUCGUGUGACGACGCGGACGGAUCUCGGAUGGCGACGGAUCGACGGAUGGCGCGGCGGAGCGGGGAGAGAGAUGGCACGGCCAACUUACGAUGUUUACGUUACGCACGUUUUAAUACCAUGCCACCGCAUGCGACAGACGAACGCGCCGCCGCCGACGACGCGCGUCCUGUCCUGGGCCGUUUUUAUCUGAUGAUCGUGGUAAAUCUAGUCUCAACAUCUGAUCUCAUCAACACCAGUUUAGGGUUUAGG
rnacentral:lncRNA from 1 species